rnacentral:rRNA from 1 species
UUAAAUUGAAGAGUUUGAUCAUGGCUCAGAUUGAACGCUGGCGGGAGGCCUAAAGCAGGUAAGUCGAACGGUAACAGGAAGCAGCUUA